rnacentral:rRNA from 1 species
GACGAAGGGUGCAAGCGUUAUCCGGAAUCAUUGGGCUUAAAGGGUGCGUAGGCGGCCUGCUAAGUCAGUGGUGAAAUCUUCUCGCUUAACGAGAAAACUGCCAUUGAUACUGGUGGGCUUGAGUACAGAUGCUGUGGGCGGAAUAUGACAUGUAGUGGUGAAAUACAUAGAGAUGUCAUAGAACACCGAUUGCGAAGGCAGCUCACAAAACUGUAACUGACGCUGAGGCACGAAAGUGCGGGGAUCAAACAGG